GCUGGGCCCGCCCAGCUGCUCCAGCUGAGGCAGCGCCACCUCAGGCACCCCAGAAGGGAGGCACUUCAGAAAAGCGGCCCGCGGAUGAACACCCACUUCGCUGAUCUCCGUAAUUGCGAGGGGAGGCAAGCUGGUUGCAGACAGCAAAGAUUUGCAAGACAGUUACAAAUGUGCAUCUGCAAAUGCACAUAGACCCCUUUAGCUGUGCUUGAGGAGGUUAAAAAGAGCAGCUGGAAUACUAGUUCAGGUUGACAAACAGGAAGCAAGCUGUCAAUGUAGGAUGUAAAAACUGUAUUGUUUUUCAGUAAGUAAAACUGUUAUUUUAAAGGCAAGACACAUAGUUCAGUUCACCCUUGUGUUAAUGACCUGAUACAUAUAUUUUUACACUCCAAAGUCCUCAAGCACAAGAACUGUAUUUAGAUGUAGACUCUCCUGUGCCUGCCCUCACAAGGGCCUUAUAUCUAACACCUUAUUUAAUGAUGAAGCCACUGUUCCACUAACUAGAAAUAUCAAGCCAACAGGAACUAUGACUAGGCCUAAUAGAAUAGGUACUUUCCACAUUUUAGUGGAAAUUGUGUGCUUUAAAUGAUACUGCUGCUACUCUUCCAGUGACCGUGAGUGCUAUUGGUUUACUGGGAUUACUAUCAUAGCUUUUGAUUCACAAAAUAGUUGAAAAGUUACAAAAAGUCAGGGUUGCAAGAGGGUCAAAAAAAGUUGACAUCACAGAUCAAGCAGAAUAUUUUCAUACUCUUAUUUAGCACCCACUUUCUUUCUAGGCAGCCAAUAUCUUGAUAUGAGGAUAAAAAGGAGAUGUGGUAGUUUUUUGAAUGACAAAGUAGGCUGGUUACUUCCUGCUGAUUAAUCUUGUCUCUUACCACCUUUUUCCUAUUUGGAGUUUUUACCACUAGGACUUUUCAACACAAAUCUGCCUCAUAUUUUCACUCUGCAAAGGACAGACAAGUUAUCAUACAGAAAACAACUGGGCAGUUAUGUAAAAUUUCAAAUAUAUCACCUUUCAAUCCUGAAGUAUGUAUUUUUCAUGCCUUAACAGGACAAGUUCACUUGGCUGGCACAACUGGAAUUCACACAGCCUUUGGCUUUCUACAGAUGGAAGAACAACAGUUCUGUGAGCAUCAUGCAGGAAUGCUCUCAACUGUUCUGGUAGCAGAAAUAAAGCCCAAAACUGAAGGAGGAACUGUUUGAUUGGAGGAAGUUGUCCUUGAAGACCUCCUGCCAGAUUUCCUGAGGUCCUUUGCCCUUCAGAGCUGCCUCCCAUGGGAUCCUGCCCACUGGUUCUCUGAAUAACUCAGAAUCUGUCUCAUGGAGUCCAGGGACUGUAUUCUGCUGCUCGUUUUCCUCAUGUGCUCUGUCUUGAACGUGGCUAUUUCCAGGUCACUAUCACUGGAGCAACCACUGAUUAUCAUAUCAAACCACUUCCUUCUCCUGUGUGACUAAUAAAGGCAGAACUGCUGCAUCUCCUGUUCCGUUUAGAAAUGCAUUGACUGACUACAUGGAAAUAGCUUAAUAGCAGAAUGCGUAUUCCAUUGAGUUCCAUGCUGGAUAAAUAUACUUUGUUCUGAGAUAAAAUUUAGCCUGGAAUUAUUUUAGUUUCAUUAUCACAGUGCUGUGUGUGUGCCCUGGCAGCUUUGGGUUGUCUGCAUUCAUCACACAGGUAAGCUGCUCUCUGGAUAACACAGCUAUGCAUAACCAGGGCUUAAAUAUGUAUGAAAUUAGGAGUCUUAGUCAUUCACUCUUCUCUAGAUUUUUUUCCUGCUCUUUGCCUUUCUAUGUAUGGUUUUAUUCCUUCUCAUCAGAUGUCUUCCAACAAAAUUUGUUGCUCCAUCAGUGUGGCCAGUGCAAAGAGAAACUAAAAUACCCUCGUUUCUUGGCAAGCUGCUUUCUGUAGUGGUUUAUAUUUUCUUUCUGCUGUUGUUGUUCUUGGAGCAAUAGUAGAAUAGUUGAUGGCAUCAAGACUUAUCCAGACAGGAAAGAGCUAUACAGACAUACACUGAUUUUAAAGAGUGAAAAAAAGCAUCCUGGAAAAUGGAAGUUUUCCUAUUGUGUUAUUUGAACAAAACCAAAACCAAAUCAAAACAAAAAAGAAGCUGGCUAAGAAAAGGAAAAUCUGGCCUUUGUUGCCAUGUCGUAUGAAGUACUGAUUAGAGAAAUUACUCAAUGUGAGGAGCACACAGAGUAGCCAAGGAGGGCAGACUCAUUAAAACCUUUUCAGUACUGCUGGAAUUUCUGCAUGUGAUACUGGCUGUGGUGCUGUAUAUUCUGUCUAGUAGCCUUGCUUCUAUCUUUGCACAUUUUAGGGCAGCCGUAUUUUAAUAAAACAUCAACAUAUUAAUGAGACAUGUUAAAACAAAAUAGAAAAAGUCAGAUGACUGGAACAUCUCUCUGAAAAUUAGCCAGGCUAGACCUGUAAGAUAUGAUUGAACAGCAUGUUUGAAGACUGACUUUACUGGGUCAGUAUAGCAUUAAUAGGAUAAAACUGCAGGGACUAUUAUUAGUGACUCAAAUUCAAAUUUUUCACAUAUCAGUCUUAUCCAAGUAUAUUUUUCUGAAAAAGUUUUGGUCUGACAUGACUAAAUUUUACCAGAUGUGGUUUAACUGACUUAGUCUAAUCAUUUUCUCUUGAAAGGUACUUGGCAUAGCUAAUACAGCUGUCUUGGAAAAAUUAAGUUAAUCUGUGAAUAAUAAAUAUUUCAGCUUAAUACAGCAUGCAAUGAAUAUAAACUAUAAAAGAGCACACUUUUAAUUUAGCAAUGUCAUAAAUUUACAGUUUCUCCGACAAGAAAAUCAGGUUUGUUACUUUUAUCGGUAUUGCUGUACACAGUCCUGGUGUAGCUCUCAAUUUAACUUUCUGGAUCAUGAAAGUAUGUAUUUUUCUUUAAAAAAUUUGGUAUAGCUUAUUUAAAUGCUAAGAUGGAAAAUAAUUUCAAGACAUUCUACCUCAUUACUUAUUUAAGAUUUUUUUAAAUAUGCCUAAUUUUAUACUUUCACACAGCAAAAGGUGCAAUUGUUUCUGCUGUAAAGAAGUCUUUUGGGUUUAAGGUUACUCAAGUUUCAUUUCCCAGCUUGUGUUUCUCCAGGCCAUUUGAUGGCAAUGCCAACAUCCCAGAUCUCUGUAAGUGUAGUUCUUGCAACAAAACCGGCACAAAGAGUAAGCAGAGAUUGACAGGACUAAGAAGUGCCUUACAGGAGAGCUCAGAAUCUCCCCACUAGACCAGAGUUCAAGCACCGUUUUCUUUUGCCCAGGCUCCUUUGCAAUGCUGGAGUCAGCCUCCAGCUGUAGCCCGACUCAGACACAAGGCUUUGGUGCAAGUCAUGCACAGACAGCAAGAGGGCUGUUCCAAAGGACAGAGUGCCUGGCACUGGACAAAGCUGCAAAGCUUUCUUGUUAUAAUGCUUUGCCUCACAUCCCUUCUAGGGGCUUAACAGAUGACAGGAACACUGCCUCAAGUACCUUUUUGCCACCCAGCAGUUAAUCUGUCAUGUCUCUUAUCACUCUUAUUGAGAAGUAGGUGGACUUUUUUAGGUGUAUGGAACUGACAGGAGAUGUAGAAAAAUUUACAUUGGAAGGAAAGCCAAUGAAAACAUAUGGAUUAUCAAGUUAUAUAUACACAGACAACAGAUUUUGGGUUUGUUAGCAUAAAGUUCUAUUUUAUAUUUAGACUAGAAUCCUUUCUAGUAUUUCUUCAGAGGAAAAGUAGUAUCUUGUCAGGUUUAUAGUGUGAUAAAAUAAACACAAGGAAAUAAACAUGUUCACAAUAUAAAAUCUUCAGUAGUAACUCCAGUUUUGUUGGUAUAUUUUUUUGUACCAAAUCCUCUAAAGAGUAUACAAAAAGAGCAGAAUAAGUAAGAGCCUUUAAGUAGCAGUUCAGGAAGAAAACAGUCUUGUCUGGAGUACAGGUCAUCUGCUUUAACAGCAUCAUGUCAACAGUCUGCAGUAUGAACCGAAAAGCCAGAGUAAUACAGAUCAAAUACCUGGGACAUUGAAACAAUCUUUUCUUCUUAGGUAAUAUGCAGUAAUAAACACUUAUAAAAACACAUUUCUCAUCAUUAACAUGAUUUUUAAUAUAUAGACUGGUGCCAUAAGUAGUCUAAAAUAGAGGUUCUUCAUUGAGUAAUUUUCACUGGGCUUUUUAUGCCACUGAAGAAAAUCUGUAGAGGGGCAUAAAAAUUGUGACCAGCAAAUAUCCCCAUGGAUAAAUCUCCUUAAAACAGCUAUUUUUCUUACAUUAUUACACCAUCACCAAUAGCUCGCUGUUCAGGAAUACAAUUUACUGCCAGAAUAAGUGUUUCAGGAACUGGUGUCACCAUGUUUGUGGAUCAGUUCCUGAUUGUCUGCUAAGAUGACCAAGGUAGCUGGAAUGGUUUAAUGUAGACAGUUGAUGGCAAUGUUACUCAACUGAUCACUGCACCCAUUCCUCCAGCUACUGUGCUUUACUUCCUGGAGCCUGUAGAAACAAGGAAUUAUUUUCCCGUUGCUAAAUAAUUAGCACUGCUGCACAUUCAGAUUUGUUUUUUUUUUGUUGUUGUUGUAUUUAGUAUUUGUUACAUAUACCAAGAUUUUCAGUUCAAGGACAUACAAAAACAUUAAGGUCUUAAUGUUUUUAUAAAUUACAUCAUAGCUAAGCACUCAAGCUGUUUCUACACUACACACUUUGGCCAACAGUCAGAGAGAAAGGUUGUGAUCCUCAUCAGUAGCACAGUGCAAAUGCCAUUAUACUGAGGGGAAAAAACCCAAACUCUCCUUUCUGCAGAAACACGCUCAGAGUUUUACUGGUAAGAAUUAAAGCUACACCAUGGGAAUACCCUGCCAGUAUCCCAUGCAAGCAGUUAUCCUGGCAGUGCUCCUAGGGGUGCUCUAUGUUCAAUCCAACAUUUAUUUCCUCUUUUUUUUCCCUCCUUCCUUUCAGCUGUUGUGGUUGCACAGCUCCUUUGUUUUUGUAUCAUCUUCAAAGCAGCACAUCACAUUUUCACAAAAGGAAAUAUUCAAAAUGGUAAUUUAAAAAAGUUUAUUACAUCAGUGAAUCAGCAAAUAGUGAUUAUUUCCAACAAAGCCACAUUAUCUUUUUGUCUUCUUUCAUCUAGAUUUAGCUGUAUUUAAUAGUAGCAAAAAUGGGACUAUAAUAUGUAGAAUGGAGAUGAAAUGAAAAAGUUGAGAUGUAAUCUGAGGACUACUCAAAUACAACGUACUUCCAGCUCUUCUACCCAAAAUGCAGCCAAUUUGUGUACAUUUAUGCCUUACAUUUUCGUAUAUUUGCUAUAUAAUGCAAAUAUUUUAUACCCAAAUAAAAGCCUCCUACAGGAUUGGAAUAUCCUUAAUUGCAUCAUGUGGAUUCUGUUAAUGAAUUUAUAAUAAUACAACCUCUCAGUUUACAGACCGGGUGACAUUAACUGGAAUUAUGGAAAUGGUAAUCAAAUGUACUAGAUGGGAUGAAUAAUGGAAAUACUGACUUUCUAUCUACUGAUACUCCAACCCACCAGGUGAUUAUUCAGUUUAAUAUUAAAUACUCAGUCCAGCCUCAAAAUAAUGAAGUUUUAAAAUCCCACGUUAAGUUUACUCAACAGUGGAAAACUGAUGCUGGAGCAUCAUGGAGUUUUCAGAUACACUUCAGUGCUUUAAAAAAAAGUAUUAAAGGACCUAGCAAUUUAGGAAUCUAACUGUAAGUAUUCUCCAAUAAUGGUCACUGCAAAUUUCAAAUCCAUGAGCUUACUUCAAGAAGUCAGUCAGAUAUCUGGAAAUCUUGUCAGUCCAGAAAAUGAACAAGACAGUAAGCUUCCCUGGCUUUUAAUUUCUUCAUUAGUUUAAGAUCCAAGGAACUGUGGGUUUCGUUCACUUGGUAGAAACAACAAAAAAAAAGAAGUUACUUUUUAAACCCUGAUUUACCAAAAAAAUAAAAGCCCAGAGAUUUGCAGACAUAAUAAAAUUUAUUUAAAUUCCAUGCAUUACGGUAGCUACAAGUGUAGUCAUAUGAAACUGAAGGACAAUAACUUCUUCUGUCCAUACAAUGUAGCUGUAAGUGAAAUGAAUGGGAGUUCCACAGUUACAAAGAAACAAACAAAACAAAACAAAAAAAAAAUCCCAAAAAAGGUAAAUCUGUUUCAGUUUUGAGUUUCAAUUCAGAUACAGUCACUAGACUGCAAAUAUUUGGGGGAGAAGAGGGGCUCACCAAUUUUACAGCUGAGAAUGUUUAGUUUAAGAUAUUCUGAAGAAGCUCAGAAGAUACCUUUUAAUAAUUACUACUAAUACUCUGGAAAAUGCAAAAAAUCCCUUAGCCUUCAUCCUAAUUGUUAGAAUCAGGACAGCAAUUGCAGACAGUCCAUUUUCAAAGUGCAGCUAAAUAGGGUUUUAUUAUGCAGCUCCUUCAAGUUGUAUUGAGUAAGCUUUACUUUGAACCAGUUUUGCUUUAAUUUCUCAAGAAAAACUUCACUGGUCCUCAUAAGCUUACAUUGCUUUUUGAUAUGCAAAAAUUUACAGACUGUGCUUGAUUCUGACCCUCCCAUAUUUCAGUAUGUGCAAACUCUUAGGGAUUUAAAUAGCCUUUCUCCCUCUCAGUUCAGACCGAUCUUUAAAACAGCAAGGAUUAUCUGGCCCUCUAAAUUAAAGCCAGGGUGAACUUAGUAAUUUAUGUAACUGGCACUUUUUAAUUGGCCCAGUUCUCCCACAAAAUGUAGCUCUUAUAAAUACUAAUAGGCACUAUUGCCACAGAUUCUCUUAUUUUUGCAAGUUUCGCUGAUUUACUGGUUGUUAGCAUUUUCUGCAGUUAAGAAUUUAAUAAUGCUGACUUUUUAUAAGGACACAAUAUGUAGUUCUAGCCUUCAAAAUUGACUUCCUGUGUCUAGUAAUGAUGUUAGGUCAACCUAAAUUUGCUGAAGAUAUUAACAAAUGUAAAGCUAAUGAAGGUGC